AUGUGGAGUUAAAAACAAAAAUAGAAAAAUGGAUUCAGGAGAAAAAGGCAUCCUCAUGACAACAGUGAAUAAUAACAUUUUAAUUUUAAUGGUGAAUGAGAUUCUGCUUUUAUAAACAGAGAUGUAUUUUUUCAUUGUUAGAUUCUUAGGAGUAACAGAAAUAUCACUGUUUUGUUUGUUAUAUUUGUCUUGUAAAGUAAGACCCAGGCUCCAUUAGUGAUUACUGUUGUACAAAAAAGGAAGUAGGUAUUUGUUGAAGUUUGAAAUCAUUUUUGAGUUCAAAUUGCUGUUGUAAUGAACCUGUUGCCGUGGUUUUAUUUCCAGCUUAUAGUCUGUGAUACCACAAAAAAAACCCAAUAAAAAGUAUAUUGAAGCGCAAACUUUCCAAUAAAAUUUGUUAUUUUG
rnacentral:misc_RNA from 1 species